rnacentral:tRNA from 1 species
GCAUCAGUGGUUCAAUGGUAGAAUGCUCACCUGCUAUGUGGACAGCCCAAGUUCAAUUCCUAGCCAAUGUA